UGCAGUCGAACGCACAGCGAAAGGUGCUUGCACCUUUCAAGUGAGUGGCGAACGGGUGAGUAACACGUGGACAACCUGCCUCAAGGCUGGGGAUAACAUUUGGAAACAGAUGCUAAUACCGAAUAAAACUUAGUGUCGCAUGACACAAAGUUAAAAGGCGCUUCGGCGUCACCUAGAGAUGGAUCCGCGGUGCAUUAGUUAGUUGGUGGGGUAAAGGCCUACCAAGACAAUGAUGCAUAGCCGAGUUGAGAGACUGAUCGGCCACAUUGGGACUGAGACACGGCCCAAACUCCUACGGGAGGCUGCAGUAGGGAAUCUUCCACAAUGGGCGAAAGCCUGAUGGAGCAACGCCGCGUGUGUGAUGAAGGCUUUCGGGUCGUAAAGCACUGUUGUAUGGGAAGAACAGCUAGAAUAGGAAAUGAUUUUAGUUUGACGGUACCAUACCAGAAAGGGACGGCUAAAUACGUGCCAGCAGCCGCGGUAAUACGUAUGUCCCGAGCGUUAUCCGGAUUUAUUGGGCGUAAAGCGAGCGCAGACGGUUUAUUAAGUCUGAUGUGAAAGCCCGGAGCUCAACUCCGGAAUGGCAUUGGAAACUGGUUAACUUGAGUGCAGUAGAGGUAAGUGGAACUCCAUGUGUAGCGGUGGAAUGCGUAGAUAUAUGGAAGAACACCAGUGGCGAAGGCGGCUUACUGGACUGCAACUGACGUUGAGGCUCGAAAGUGUGGGUAGCAAACAGGAUUAGAUACCCUGGUAGUCCACACCGUAAACGAUGAACACUAGGUGUUAGGAGGUUUCCGCCUCUUAGUGCCGAAGCUAACGCAUUAAGUGUUCCGCCUGGGGAGUACGACCGCAAGGUUGAAACUCAAAGGAAUUGACGGGGGACCCGCACAAGCGGUGGAGCAUGUGGUUUAAUUCGAAGCAACGCGAAGAAACCUUACCAGGUCUUGACAUCCUUUUGAAGCUUUUAGAGAUAGAAGUGUUUCUCUUUCGAAG
rnacentral:rRNA from 1 species